rnacentral:rRNA from 1 species
GACCUACGGGACGCAGCAGUGGGGGAUAUUGCACAAUGGGGGGAACCCUGAUGCAGCGACGCCGCGUGGGUGAAGGAGCGUUUCGGCGCGUAAAGCCCUGCCAGCAGGGAAGAAAAUGACGGUACCUGAAGAAGAAGCCCCGGCUAACUACGUGCCAGCAGCCGCGGUAAUACGUAGGGGGCAAGCGUUAUCCGGAUUUACUGGGUGUAAAGGGGGCGCAGACGGCGAUGCAAGCCAGGAGCGAAGGCCCGGGGCUCAACCCC